GACGGGUGAGUAACACGUAGGAAUCUGCCUAGUAGUGGGGGAUAACUUGGGGAAACUCAAGCUAAUACCGCAUACGCUCUACGGAGGAAAGCGGGGGAUCUUUGGACCUCGCGCUAUUAGAUGAGCCUGCGUCCGAUUAGCUAGUUGGUGGGGUAAAGGCCCAGCAAAGCGACGAUCGGUAGCUGGUCUGAGAGGACGAUCAGCCACUCUCCACACUGAGACACGAUCCAGACUCCUACGG
rnacentral:rRNA from 1 species